AGGCCACAGCAAGUUUUAGCCUAGACAGUGUUGUUGCAAUGUUGCAUGAUAACGAAAAGUGAGUUGUCGUCUACGCCUAGUUUGACUAUUGUUAUAUAGUUCAAGCUAGAAUAAUAUUGAACUUUCCGAUUUUUUCGUCUCAUUGUCAUACGCCUGAUUCCUAAUAAUAUGGCGGACGAAGCCAACGAGAUAGACCUCGAAGAGAUCACCGACGAAGCCGACGAGAUAGACCUAGAAGAGACCACCGAUCCAUCCAUGGACUCGACACGAGGCGAAAACGAAGAUGUCGUGUACAAGUUACAUGAAGAGAUUGACAACCUGAAUUUAGUGCUUGACCAUUUGGAGCGCAAAAAUGGAGACAUUUAUUCGCGAAUCGAACAGUUGCUGGCAUCUUUCCAAAAUAAUGAGACCGAAGAAGAAUAAUUCAUUACUAUGAUUGACAAAGACAAGGGCUGCGUUAUUAAUAUUAAGAAAAAAUACUUAUAAUUCUCAAUUGUGUAUAACCAUAGGCCUUUUGUCAUUCUUAUAAACUUUCUAUAUCACCUAUAUGACCAGUUUCCAAAAACUAGGAGAAUAAUCAAUUUGUAUUACUUAGUUGUCAUAAAUAAUGUUUAAUCUACAUCAUAUACAAAUGCACUUGUCCUUGUCAUUAUUUCAAGGUACAAUAUUUGCAUACAAUUUUUUUAAGUUUUCAUAACAGUAUUCUUUUAGGUGAUCUCUAUAGAAGAAUUUGAUAAUAUUAUGAUAAAAUAAUUGCAAUCAAAAUAUUGGUUCAUUAUAAUCAGAUAAAUGCAAAUAAUAAAAGAUUGUUUUUUAGAAUUAAAAAUGUUUAAUAAAUGUUCAACAAUCAGUAAAUACCUCUCAUUUAAAAUAAACAAUUUGAUAGUGGAAUUAGUUGUUACAUAAGCCGCAACUUACAACUGUUAAUAUAUUAUCAUGUAUCCUUACUUUUAGUUUAAUACUUAUUAUGUUUAGACCUAAGUAAAAAAAAUUCACCGCGAGAAAUAAUUGAAAUGAUAUUAUUUACCUUUUGUUAAAUAUUUUGAUAUAUUUAUGAUACAAUUAUAAAUUUCCAAUGUUAAUUUAUAUUUGUUAUUUGUUAUAGAAAUGUGUGUAUAAUAAAAUUACAUUCCUUACAAUA
rnacentral:lncRNA from 1 species